AAACAGUUGUAAGUCAAGGAUUACCUGUAUCUCACACCCCUCCCAGUCACCCUCCGGAGAAAAUUAAAGAGACAAUUUUGCAACACAGCACAGAAUGGGACGUGUUUCGUUUAAGAAACAGCACAGACAGUUCCAGGUUUCCUCAAGCCUCAAGUAUUUUAUUUGCAAUAUUUUAUCUGUCAUUUGUCAGUGACUGUUAAUACUUCCACACAACUCCCUCCCACAAAGGGAACUCAUGCCAAAUAUCUCAUUUCCCUCCACCACUCCCUCUUAAAAGUUAAAUACUGUUCAGGACGUUUUUUUUUCUGCUGGACAAAUAGCAAAAGCAUUUUUGAAACGAAGAUGAACUGCAAACUGCAAACCUCAAACCUUUAAAUAUGUGCAUGCCCACAACAGCUGUAAUAGCAGAGAUUGUCAGCUAGAGAAGAAGACGACAAUGAUUUCAAAGUUUGAAUCAGGUAGAGGUGUGUGUGUGUGUGUGUGUGUGUGUGUGUGUGUGUGUGGAGGGACAUGCAGCAAGCCACUGCCAAAAAAUCUGAUGUGUAUAUUUUUUGAGAAAAAU